UACGUAGGGUGCGAGCGUUAAUCGGAAUUACUGGGCGUAAAGCGUGCGCAGGCGGUUUUGUAAGACAGGCGUGAAAUCCCCGGGCUCAACCUGGGAAUGGCGCCUGUGACUGCAAGCUGGAGUGCGGCAGAGGGGGAUGGAAUUCCGCGUGUAGCAGUGAAAUGCGUAGAUAUGCGGAGGAACACCGAUGGCGAAGGCAAUCCCCUGGGCCUGCACUGACGCUCAUGCACGAAAGCGUGGGGAGCAAACAGG
rnacentral:rRNA from 1 species